rnacentral:rRNA from 1 species
AGAGUUUGAUCCUGGCUCAGAGCGAACGCUGGCGGCGUGGUUUAGGCAUGCAAGUCGAGCGAAUUUUUCGGAUUGAAGUCUUGAAGCCGCAAGGCUGAUGGAUGGAUGACUGAAAAAUUAGCGGCAAACGGGUGAGUAACGCGUGGGUAAUCUGCCCUCGAGUGGGGGAUAACAACCCGAAAGGGUUGCUAAUACCGCAUAAGCCCACGACCUCGAAAGAGGUUGUGGGAGAAGCCGGGGAUCCGCAAGGACCUGGCGCUUGAGGAUGAGCCCGCGUCCCAUCAGCUUGUUGGUAGGGUAAUGGCCUACCAAGGCUAUGACGGGUAGCUGGCCUGAGAGGGUGGUCAGCCACACUGGGACUGAGACACUGCCCAGACUCCUACGGGAGGCUGCAGUCGAGAAUAUUUUCCAAUGGGCGAAAGCCUGAGAAUGCGACGCCGCGUGCGGGAUGAAGGCCUUCGGGUCGUAAACCGCUGUCGGGUGGGAAGAAUACCUGUCCUGUGAACAUCAGGAUCGGUUGACGGUACCACCGAAGGAAGCCACGGCCAACUCCGUGCCAGCAGCCGCGGUAAUACGGAGGUGGCGAGCGUUGCUCGGAUUCAUUGGGUGUAAAGGGUCGGUAGGCGGUUUGGUAAGUGCCCGGUGAAAUUCUACGGCUCAACCGUAGAACGUUCGGGUAGACUGCCGAACUUGAGAACUGGAGGGGCAGGCGGAAUUCCCGGUGUAAGGGUGAAAUCUGUAGAUAUCGGGAGGAACACCAGUGGCGAAGGCGGCCUGCUGGACAGUCUCUGACGCUGAGCGACGAAAGCGUGGGGAGCAAACAGGAUUAGAUACCCUGGUAGUCG